rnacentral:rRNA from 1 species
UACGUAGGUGGCAAGCGUUGUCCGGAUUUACUGGGCGUAAAGAGCGCGCAGGCGGUCGUUCAAGUCGCGUGUGAAAGCCCCCGGCUCAACUGGGGAGGGUCACGCGAUACUGAUCGACUCGAAGGCAGGAGAGGGUAGUGGAAUUCCCGUGUAGUGGUGAAAUGCGUAGAUAUCGGGAGGAACACCAGUGGCGAAGGCGGCUCGCUGGCUCGAUACUGACGCUGAGGUGCGAAAGCGUGGGGAGCAAACAGG